rnacentral:rRNA from 1 species
AACAGGAUUAGAUACCCUGGUAGUCCACGCCGUAAACGAUGUCGACUUGGAGGUUGUUCCCUUGAGGAGUGGCUUCCGGAGCUAACGCGUUAAGUCGACCGCCUGGGGAGUACGGCCGCAAGGUUAAAACUCAAAUGAAUUGACGGGGGCCCGCACAAGCGGUGGAGCAUGUGGUUUAAUUCGAUGCAACGCGAAGAACCUUACCUACUCUUGACAUCCAGCGAACGGGGCAGAGAUGCCCUGGUGCCUUCGGGAACGCUGAGACAGGUGCUGCAUGGCUGUCGUCAGCUCGUGUUGUGAGAUGUUGGGUUAAGUCCCGCAACGAGCGCAACCCUCGCCCUUAGUUGCCAGCAUUUGGUUGGGCACUCUAAGGGGACUGCCGGUGAUAAGCCGAGAGGAAGGUGGGGAUGACGUCAAGUCCUCAUGGCCCUUACGGGCUGGGCUACACACGUGCUACAAUGGUGGUGACAGUGGGCAGCGAGACAGCGAUGUCGAGCUAAUCUCCAAAAGCCAUCUCAGUUCGGAUUGCACUCUGCAACUCGAGUGCAUGAAGUUGGAAUCGCUAGUAAUCGCAGAUCAGCAUGCUGCGGUGAAUACGUUCCCGGGCCUUGUACACACCGCCCGUCACACCAUGGGAGUUGGUUUUACCCGAAGGCGCUGCGCUAACCGCAAGGGGGCAGGCGACCACGGUAGGGUCAGCGACUGGGGUGAAGUCGUAACAAGGUAACC